rnacentral:lncRNA from 1 species
GGUUGAAAAUAAUUGUUUGAGUCAAAGGAACAAUUGGGUAGAGAGAUGGUUCUGUAAGGAAGGGCAAUUGAGAGGGACAAAAUGAAAGUUGAAGAGAGAGUCGUGAUUUAAGGGAAAUUAGGCAUGAAGAUUGUAGAGAUGAGACACAAGUCAGACUGGUCGUCAUCUUGGCAUGUGGUUUGUCUGCUCUUCCUUUGACACUUUUCUCUGUUUCCACAACUGCCUCUCUCCCUCCCUCCCUCAUGGGUAUAUUAUGUGUCUGUGUAUAUACGUACAUGUGCAUGUGUUUGUGUAUGUGUAUAUACGGAAGAGUCAUGUGAUUGUUUCUUUUGUCCAUCAAAGCGUGUCUCGCACACAUGACAGGGUUCGUGUCAUGUGUAUACUGACUGGUUCACUACAUGAUUCUAUAUGACUAUGCAUAUAAAUAACAAAAAGGGAAUGUAGCAUUUUAGAGAGAAUUCAAAUUUUCAUUAAUUAACUAAUUAUUUAUUUAUUUAUUAUAAGCCCAUUUUCACAUGUUCAUGUAGAUGUAACAGUAGGAACUAAAAUAUGGAAUUCAACAUGUCAACAUUCCAGCCUAUUCCGGUCCAAAUAAAAAAGUGAAAAUUCACAAUCAAUUUCUUUAUAUUCCGAAAUCAACCGAGCCGGCCUAUGUAUAAUAUAUAUAUAUAUAUAUAUUACAGGCAGUAUGGUCCAUUUGGGUUUGUCUCCAAAACUGAUGUUGGGGCCCAUCUAUGGAAAAGCACAGUGCUGGUUCUCGAGCUGGACAUUUUAAGAGUUUCAUACCUCUAAAACUCAAAAUAUGCAUGUGAUUAUAACUUUGUUCUCACUCUGAAACUCGAAGGAUAUUUUAUUAUUCUCCCCUACCUAAAUAACUAUCAAGUGCUUUUUUUUUUUUUUUUUUUUUUUAAUCCUUAGUUACAAGCUUAUGCUAUCUAUAUAAAAAAAAAAAUACUUGGAUACAAACUCUCUUUUAAGUAUGCAUUUUUCUUUUUCUAUAUUUAAUUUUAAUAUUAUAUUUUCUAUUAUAAUAAAAACAAUAAUAAUUAUUAUUUUUUUAUUUAUUUUAAAUGCUCUGAAAUAAAUAUAUAAGACACACAACUUUUAAUAUUAUUUUUUUUUUCUUAUCAAGUUCCAACCAUUUUUAAUUUCAUUUUCAUUAACUAACAUUAUCUAUGAGAAUAAAUAAAGGACCAUAUGACUAUAAUGACAUAUAUAGUAAAAAGAGAGAAUCUUAGAGUAUAUAACUUAAAAAUUUACUUAGUCACAACUUCAUUCUUUAACAAUAGCUUUAUAAUUCAGUCAGGGAUAUUAACGAAAGAAACCAAAACAUUAACUCUAUUCAAACAUCAACCUAUGGAUACAAGAGCUGGCCAUAAUCUCUUAUCUAACAAGGUAACUUAGACUUAGAGUAGAUGAUGAGUAGUCUAUAAGGCAAGAGGACUUGAACCAAAACUAAAAAAGAUGUAGCAAUACUUCUAAGCGAUAAAACAUAAGAUCUUCACUAAUCAUAUUAAGGUGGAAUAUAUUAACCAAAGUAAUCCACUUGUCUUAUAAAGAAAUUUUAGAUUUAAAAAAUUCAUAUGAUAUAAACAUAUGAGGUAAUUAUAUUAUAAUUUGCGCUCUUUAAACUUGUUAAAAAUUUUGUAUUUUUAUGUUUUAAAUGUUUUACCAUUGUUCAAUUUACUUCUUUUGUCAUUUUUUUUAAGGUACAUUCUAGCGAUGAAAUUAGUUCCUCACUGUGGCAUUCGAGAAGUCAUCUCCCAAUUUGAUGAGUUUCUUACUUUCACCUUAUAAGCUAUUCGACCAACGUAUGAACUUAUUUUAGUUAUCAUGCAUGCUCUGUGCAUCACUAUAGAAUGUGUCAAUUAAUGAAAUCAAUUAUUAUAGAAGUAACUAACAAGAAUUUAUAAAGUUAAUGCCAAUAAAAAAAAAAAAAAAAAAACUAAUAGGUUACUAUCAAUAUCGUUGGUUACUUG